UACGUAGGGUGCGAGCGUUAAUCGGAAUUACUGGGCGUAAAGCGUGCGCAGGCGGUUCGUUGUGUCGGUGGUGAAGCCCCGGGCUUAACCUGGGAAUGGCCAUGGAACUGGCGAACUGGAGUGUGGCAGAGGGGGGUGGAAUUCCGGCGUGUAGCAGUGAAAUGCGUAGAGAUGCGGAGGAACACCGAUGGCGAAGGCAGCCCCCUGGGCUAACACUGACGCUCAGGCACGAAAGCGUGGGGAGCAAACAGG
rnacentral:rRNA from 1 species